CCAAUAGCGUAUAUUAAAGUUGUUGCAGUUAAAAAGCUCGUAGUUGAAUUUCGGGAUCAGUACGCUGGUCGUGCCUUCGGUAUGUACUGGUGUUACUGGUUCCUACCUUCUGACGAACCGUCAUGUCAUUAAUUUGGUGUGGCGGGAAAUCAGGACUGUUACUUUGAAAAAAUUAGAGUGUUUAAAGCAGGCUCGCGCUUGAAUACAUUAGCAUGGAAUAAUGAAAUAGGACGUUCGAUCCUAUUUUGUUGGUUUCUAGGAUUGACGUAAUGAUUAAUAGGGAUAGUUGGGGGCAUUAGUAUUCAAUUGUCAGAGGUGAAAUUCUUGGAUUUAUUGAAGACUAACUACUGCGAAAGCAUUUGCCAAGGAUGUUUUCAUUAAUCAAGAACGAAAGUUAGGGGAUCGAAGACGAUCAGAUACCGUCGUAGUCUUAACCAUAAACUAUGCCGACUAGGGAUCGGAUGAUGUUAAUUUUUUAAUGACUCAUUCGGCGCCUUACG
rnacentral:rRNA from 1 species